GUUUUGGGGUCCCUCUUUUUGGGGUAAAACUGGAGGGAUUUGGGAUUUUUGGGGUCCCAAUUUUUGGGGUAAAUCUGGGAGGAUUUGGGGGAUUUGGGGUCUCUCUUUUUGGAGUAAAUCUGGGAGGUUUUGGGGUCUCCCUUUUGGGGGCAAAUCUGGGGGGAUUUGGGAUUUUUGGGGUCCCUCUUUUUGGGGCCAAUUUAGGGGUUCUGGGAGGUUUUGGGGUCUCCCUUUUUGGGAUAAAUUUGGGAGGUUUUGGGGUCCCUCUUUUAGGGGCACAUUUGGGGGUUCUGGGAGGUUUUGGGGUCCCUCUUUUUGGGGUAAAUCUGGGAGGUUUUGGGGCCCUUGUUUUUGGGGUAAAAGUGGAGGGAUUUGGGAUUUUUGGGGUCCCUCUUUUAGGGGCAAAUUUGGGGGUUCUGGGGGGAUUUGGGGGCUUUGGGGUCCCUCUUUUUGGGGUAAAUCUGGGAGGUUUUGGGGUCUCCCUUUCUGGGGUAAAUCUGGGGGGAUUUGGGGUAAAUCUGGGAGGUUUUGGGGUUUUUGGGGUCCCUCCUUUUGGGGUAAAUCUGGGGGGAUUUGGGAUUUUUGGGGUCCCUCCUUUUGGGGUAAAUGUGGGGGGUCCCAGGAACUGGGGGGCUCCUCCAGGGGGGUGGGAUGGUCCGGCCCCCCCCAUUUUGGAUCCACCCAUUUUGGGGGGUCCCCAAAUUCCAGGGGUGGAUCCAAGGGGUCCCCAAAUUCCGGGGGGUCCCCAAAUUCCAGGGGGUCCCCAAAUUCCGAGGGGUCCCCAAAUUCCGAGGGGUCCCCAAAUUCCGGAGUUCUGGGUGGUCCUGGAGGAGGAGAAGACACCAAGGGGGGCUCCCCAAAUUCCAGGGGCUCCCCAAAUUCCAGGGGGUCCCCAAAUUCCAGGGGCUCCCCAAAUUCCGGGGGCGGAUCCGGGGGGUCCCCAAAUUCCGGGGUCCUGGGUGGUCCUGGGGAUGGAGAAGACACCACAGGGGGGGGGGUCCCCAUCAGGAUUGGUGGGACCCCUCCCCAAAUUAACCCAACAUCCCCCGAAUUUGGGGUGCCCCACUCACCCCAGCCCGUGGUG
rnacentral:lncRNA from 1 species